rnacentral:rRNA from 1 species
AACGAACGCUGGCGGCAUGCCUAACACAUGCAAGUCGAACGAGACCUUCGGGUCUAGUGGCGCACGGGUGCGUAACGCGUGGGAACCUGCCCUUAGGUUCGGAAUAACUCCCCGAAAGGGGUGCUAAUACCGGCUAAUGUCUUCGGACCAAAGAUUUAUCGCCUUUGGAUGGGCCCGCGUUGGAUUAGCUAGUUGGUAGGGUAAAAGCCUACCAAGGCGACGAUCCAUAGCUGGUUUGAGAGGAUGAUCAGCCACACUGGGACUGAGACACGGCCCAGACUCCUACGGGAGGCAGCAGUGGGGAAUAUUGGACAAUGGGCGAAAGCCUGAUCCAGCAAUGCCGCGUGAGUGAUGAAGGCCUUAGGGUUGUAAAGCUCUUUUACCCGGGAUGAUAAUGACAGUACCGGGAGAAUAAGCUCCGGCUAACUCCGUG